CACACACACACACACACACACACAUCCUGUUAUCUCUUGCUGGCGGUGGCUCAACAGGGGUCUAACUUCACUCGUAUAACACAAUAUUAAAGUAACACAAUAACAGACUCAUCCAACCAUCCCUCACGCCCUCGACCACGCCGCCUCUUCCUCAAGCCUUCACGCAUGACGUGGAGGUAAACAAAGGAUGGACAAUCAAGAACAGACAGUCAACACGCUGCUCAAAUGUCACGAGGGGAUUACCAUUACCAGAACAGGUCAGCAACACCUGGCUGGUCAUCAUAAGGUCACAAGUCAUCACAUGAAGGGAGUCAGCUGAAGGACAAUAAACAAAAACAACAACAACAAAAAAAGCCCGCUUGACGCAGCUGCUCCUACUGAAGAAAAUAGAACGAGAGAUAUCAAUUUCGGGUGGAGAGACGUCUUGAUACUCUCCUCUUGAAAGAGUUCAAGUCGUAGGCAGGAGGGAAUACCGACGAAGACAGGCUGUUCCAGAGUUUACCAGCGGAAGGGAUAAAAAAUGAAGAUGCAGGUUAAUUCUUGUAAAUGAAUGUGUGUUUGCUGCCCAAGUAUCUGUCACCAAAUAAAGCUUUGCUAAUAAGAGAGUGAGUAUUACGGUUUGUGCGAAUGCUUCGAGGCAAAGAAAUACAACCGACAGUGUGGACAGUUUACAUGUCUGUGUUAGUGUGCAAUAAUUAGCUCACACUCAUGAUAUCCCUACUUGUUUAUAUUUGAAGUCUCUCUUUAAAAAUCAUUCAAUCUCAUAUUUAUCUUUAUUAAGUUUAGUUCGUCUCAUAUUUAUUGCACCGUCUGCCGUUCUUUUAAAAAAAUGUGUAUAUCAAGA